rnacentral:rRNA from 1 species
UACGUAAUGUGAAUUGCAGAAUACAGUUCGAAUCAUCGUAAUCUUUGAACGCACCUUGCGCUUUGGGGGUUACUCUUCCUAAAGCAUGUCCUGUUUUGAGUGGUCUAUGUUAACUCUCAAAAAUUACAUAUUAAUUUAUUAGUGUGUGAUUUUUGGAUCAUGGCUGUUUGCUGGUUAUUUGUUUAAUCGGUCUCAGCUGAAAUUUGAAUAGCUGACUUGUUAUUCUUGAGAAGUUAAGAAGUUUUGUCAGAAUCUUCGGCGUGAUAAUUUGUUACGCAGUUUUUCUGACAAUAUAAACGACUUUAUUUCAAAGGAUAUAAGAAAAGUUGCUUCGAACUUUUAUUAUUACUAUAAUCUAGACCUCAAACCAGGUAGGACUACCCGCUGAACUUAA